AGGACGAACGCUGGCGGCGUGCUUAACACAUGCAAGUCGAGCGGUAAGGCCUCCUUCGGGGGGUACACGAGCGGCGAACGGGUGAGUAACACGUGGGUGACCUGCCCUCAGCUCUGGGAUAAGCCUGGGAAACCGGGUCUAAUACCGGAUAGGACUGCUUGCCGCAUGGUGGGUGGUGGAAAGUUUUUUCGGCUGGGGAUGGGCCCGCGGCCUAUCAGCUUGUUGGUGGGGUAAUGGCCUACCAAGGCGACGACGGGUA
rnacentral:rRNA from 1 species